GAUGAACGCUGGCGGCGUGCCUAAUACAUGCAAGUCGAGCGAACAGACGAGGAGCUUGCUCCUCUGACGUUAGCGGCGGACGGGUGAGUAACACGUGGAUAACCUACCUAUAAGACUGGGAUAACUUCGGGAAACCGGAGCUAAUACCGGAUAAUAUAUUGAACCGCAUGGUUCAAUAGUGAAAGACGGUUUUGCUGUCACUUAUAGAUGGAUCCGCGCCGCAUUAGCUAGUUGGUAAGGUAACGGCUUACCAAGGCAACGAUGCGUAGCCGACCUGAGAGAGUGGGUGGGGAAACAGGAAGUGAGCCGCGGUCGAGAGGCAGAGGGGAAGCAGCAGGCGGCGCUUUUGUGAAAUGGGCGUGAGCUUGACAGAGCUAUGGGGUGUGAGUAAUGAAAGUUUUGGGAUCGUAAAACUCGGUGAGUAGGGAAGAACAAAUAUGGCAGUGACUAAGCACGUCUUGGCGGUACCGAAUCAGAAAGCGACGGCUAAAUACGUG
rnacentral:rRNA from 1 species